AAUUCGAUGGCUCGUUUGUUUAUCUCCGUCCCAUGCCCUCACGGGCGGUGGGUCGGACGCCAGGCAAGCCCCGUGUUCCCGGCACGCCUAGCCCAGUUGCAUGGCUGCCUCGGCGCAUGAGGCUCUUCGCCCGUGCUCUCGGAUUCGGAAUGUUAUGUGCUGCGGGUGGGUGGCUCAUCGGAGGCACUCCAUCCGGUCAAGCGAGGCAUUUUGUCCAACGAGACGAACGAACGACUGCUGCACCCGUCUUUAGGCCCGCGGCCUCACGGCACGGCGGGGCUCAUG
rnacentral:misc_RNA from 1 species